rnacentral:tRNA from 1 species
GCACGGGUAGCUCAGCGGUAGAGCGGCUCGUUUACACCGAGUUGGUCGGCGGUUCGAUCCCGUCCCCGUGUA